rnacentral:rRNA from 1 species
GUAGUCAUAUGCUUGUCUCAAAGAUUAAGCCAUGCAUGUCUAAGUAUAAGCAAUCUAUACAGUGAAACUGCGAAUGGCUCAUUAAAUCAGUUAUCGUUUAUUUGAUAGUACCUUACUACUUGGAUAACCGUGGUAAUUCUAGAGCUAAUACAUGCUAAAAACCUCGACUUCGGAAGGGGUGUAUUUAUUAGAUAAAAAACCAAUACCCUUCGGGGCUCCUUGGUGAUUCAUGAUAACUUAACGAAUCGCAUGGCCUUGUGCCGGCGAUGGUUCAUUCAAAUUUCUGCCCUAUCAACUUUCGAUGGUAGGAUAGUGGCCUACCAUGGUUUCAACGGGUAACGGGGAAU